ACAUCAGCGGUCAAAAUGGCCACUUCGGGACUUGGAAUUUUGGCAAGGGCAUUCAGUACUUCAGCCAGAUGUAACAAACUUGUACAGACCCCUGUCCAGGUUUACGGUCUGUCUGGCAGCUAUGCCUCAGCUCUCUACUCAGCUGCUAGCAAGCAGAAGUCCCUCGACUCUGUGGAGAAGGACCUUAAAUCUGUGAAGGAACUAUGGGAGAAGGAUACCAAAUUCAGGGACUUCUUUGCUGAUCCUACAGAAAAUGCUAAUAGGAAGAAGACUGCCUUUCAGUCUGUUGUGAACAAGUUAAGCUACUCAAAAGUAACACAGAACCUUUUUGGUAAGUCUCUUUGUUUGUGUGUAUUCUAUAUCUUAUAUCAUUUGCAUUAAUAAUUAAGCAUUUGAACCAUGUGUAAUUCAGUCUUGACUUCUGUUCAUAGAUUGCAGUGAUGGUCUGGUACCAGUAAAUUAGUCAAGUAAAAUUAAAAUUUGCUUUGUAAAGACCACUUUCCCUAUAUACAAUAGUUUAAUAUUUCAAGUCUUUCCCAUCUAAUGUGACAACAAAAUUUCUCAAUUGACAAAAAUUACAGUUGGAUGCCCAGGUGACCAGUGAAAACAAAAGAAUAUAUUGAGUAGUAUUCCUGAUUUACCAAAAAUAUACCAUAUUCAUAUGAGUUUUAUUUUUGCAGACACCAUGGCUGACAAUGGUCGGCUCUCUAGGCUGACUGAUGUCAUUAACUUGUACCUAGAGCUUAUGAGUGCGCAUAGGGGAGAGGUCAUCUGUAAGGUCACAACUGCCAAGGUUAGUAUUUUCAACCAGUAUAUUCUUGAGUCAUGAACUACCAUUCUGAACUAUGAGUGAAUUUCUAUUGAAAAUUUUCUUUUAAAAUAGAAAAUGAAACUGUUUUUAAGGACAUAAAUUUUACAGAUUGAACUAACAGAAAUUAGAUAACUCUUUGUUAGAAUAUACACAAAACAAUGUUUAGGCCUUUUGGUUAAUUGUUUUCUUUAUAAUCCAUUUGGAAAAACUAGACUUGGAAAUAACCUGUUGCAUGCCUUACAAAGUGUGUUUGGAUAGAAUUUUUCUAUAUAGGAUUAUACAAGUAAUUUGAUCCUCAAGAUGUAGAAAAUUGGUAAACAUGUACUUUUACAUAAUAUCCAUAGUGUUUUAUAAAAGAUGCUACUACAGGUAUGUAAAUUUUUUUUUUCAGAUUCCACACUUGUAGUACUUUUUCAUCUCUAUUUUGCAGGCUUUGGAUGCUAACACAAGCAAAGAGCUGAAUGGUAUCCUAGAGGGAUUCCUGCAGAAAGGACAGAAACUUCAUCUACAGACAGAGGUACAGUAACCUUGUCCUAACUCUGUAGUAGGGCUGUAACAGACACAGAGCACCUGUCUAAGGGUGUCCAACAGGUGCUCUCUGUAAGCAGCCGGAGAAUCAGCUCACUCAUCCAAUCCGCAUUCAGUCUCUUAUACGUGUAAUACUGUUCAGAGGCUAUGUCAAGAACUUUUCUUGUUUUAUGAAUGUUUUUCCUCUCAAUCCGCUAAUGAGAAUACCCUGUAAGUUUUUUUAAGGUAUAAUGAAUGAAAAAAUCAUGUUAUAAAAACAUGUAGGUGUUUAUUGAUUCAUGCCAAAGCAUUGAUGCAGUUACAGAGAUAUCCUUAUCUAAAGUGUGAAAGAGACAUUAGUUAAUAUUCAUGAGAACUAAAAAAUUCAAUGAGUUGGCCAAAGGUUGCUAAUAUACAUGAGACUGGCUGUAGGUUUUCAAAUGCUUAUUAAUCAGCAGAAAACAUUUGGCUGUAUUUAAUAUUAUUAUUUCAUUAAAAAUUGUGCACAGUGAAAUUACAAAGUAAAGUUGAAAUUUGGUACAUGUAUUUCCAACAUCUACAUCUCUGAUAUCCAGAAUAUAUUGAAACAAAUUGAAAGUUACAACGUCUGUUAUGUUUUACUGUGGAAUCAUUAGAUUUUGUGGUGGCUUAAUUUUCGUGGAAUUCGUGGCUACCCCUCACCCACGAAUUAACAUCCUCCACGAAUAAAUAAAUUAGGACUGUAAAGUCAUAUUUCCUUUUGUAAGUAUCCGAGAAUACACGAAAUUACGUCCCAACGAACCUGUAAAAUUGUAGCAAUCCACGAAAAUUGGCCCCCACGAAUUUUACUGAUUCCACAGUAUAACCUCUUUGAUCUUAAAUCCUUUGGAUAAAAAUUUUUUCAAGUCCCCUUGAAUAAGAGAUUAAAUAAGAGGUUUGACUGAAAUUCAUUAUAUAUUUGAAAUUGCUAUGUGUAAAAAUUAUGUAGUCCAUAUUUACUACAAAUAUAUAUAAUGAAUGCAUUCAUUAUGAUGAAAUCUAGAUCUAUAGGUGUAUAAUCUCCUAUGCUUGUUUAAGACUUUUGGUGUGUUUUUGGACAGGUGGACCCCAGCUUGGUGGGAGGAAUGACGGUGACCAUCGGGGACAAGUUUAUAGAUAUGUCCCUCAAAUCUAAAAUUAAGCACUACACGGGCAUUCUCAAGAGUGCCUCCAUCUAGACGGGAGUCAGUCCGCCUCCAUCUAGACCGGAGGGAGUCCCAGUGACCAGACUCUGAUAUCAUACUUGUGUUUGUUACAACUUUAGGAUUAAAUAAAGAAGUAUUUACACUU
rnacentral:misc_RNA from 1 species